rnacentral:rRNA from 1 species
UGGGGAAUAUUGGACAAUGGAGGCAACUCUGAUCCAGCCAUGCCGCGUGAAGGACUAAGGCCCUAUGGGCUGUAAACUUCUUUAGACGCAGAGCAAUAAGGGCCACGCGUGGUCCGAUGAGAGUAUGCGUAGAAUAAGCAUCGGCUAACUCCGUGCCAGCAGCCGCGGUAAUACGGAGGAUGCGAGCGUUAUCCGGAUUUAUUGGGUUUAAAGGGUGCGUAGGCUGUUUGUCAAGUCAGAGGUGAAAGGCCGCAGCUCAACUGUGGAAUUGCCUUUGAUACUGGCAGGCUUGAAUACUGUUGCCGUGGGAGGAGUGAGUAGUGUAGCGGUGAAAUGCAUAGAUAUUACUCAGAACACCGAUUGCGAAGGCAUCUCACGAAGCAGACAUUGACGCUGAGGCACGAAAGCGUGGGGAUC